rnacentral:rRNA from 1 species
GACGAACGCUGGCGGCGUGCUUAACACAUGCAAGUCGAACGGAAAGGCCCUGCUUUUGUGGGGUGCUCGAGUGGCGAACGGGUGAGUAACACGUGAGUAACCUGCCCUUGACUUUGGGAUAAAUUCAGGAAACUGGGGCUAAUACCGGAUAGGAGCUCCUGCUGCAUGGUGGGGGUUGGAAAGUUUCGGCGGUUGGGGAUGGACUCGCGGCUUAUCAGCUUGUUGGUGGGGUAGUGGCUUACCAAGGCUUUGCCGGGUAGCCGGCCUGAGAGGGUGACCGGCCACAUUGGGACUGAGAUACGGCCCAGACUCCUACGGGAGGCAGCAGUGGGGAAUAUUGCACAAUGGGCGGAAGCCUGAUGCAGCAACGCCGCGUGCGGGAUGACGGCCUUCGGGUUGUAAACCGCUUUCGCCUGUGACGAAGCGUGAGUGACGGUAAUGGGUAAAGAAGCACCGGCUAACUACGUG